GUGCCUCUGGCCGAGCGGCAAAGGUGCCGGGCUUCCACCCCGGUCAGGCGGGUUCGACUCCCGCGAGGCACU
rnacentral:tRNA from 1 species